UGGAAAGUAGAUUACCUAGACUGACAAACGAAGCCUAUGCAAGCUAUAGAGUGGAGGUAUGAGAAUUGUGCUGUGGGAACAGCAGAAGUCAAGGUAGAAACUAAAUGUUGAGGGGAAAAAAACCAACCCUAUUAAUGCCCACAGCAUAAAACCAUCACCAAAGCCACUGAAAGGACAAUACUCUUUGAGUCCUAAUGUCUUGCUGCUUCUCCCAGAUGUUCAGUUUAGUUGUUCUUUUCCAUGACUUUCCAGUUCCUGCAAGUUGGAAGAAGGGUCCUUUAGCCUCAUAAGAAACACGAUUUUGAAGUCUCUGUUCCUUUUACCUCUUAUCAUGUGUGUUGUCCCCUAAUCAGGUGAAGGGGGACUGUGUGCCCAGGUUUUCAGACACGCUGAGGAAAAUGCCAUGUCAUGCCUUGAGUAUGUGCUAGCCAUUUGUUGCAGGUAGAUUAAAACACGCAGUCUGGCUUUUUCUCUGCCCUGUUUCGAUAUUUAGCAGUAUUUUCCUCCAAAACCAUCCUGAGAGGUCUCUGAAGUCCAGCACAGUCAAAAGACUAGACCUCAAGAUUCUGUAUAAGAAUCCUCUGGCUGAUUGAGUUCUCGGAGUGCAUUCACAUUAAAAAGAGGGAGCAAGCCUUAAUAUAAGACAACUUAGCCUGAGCACAAACAUGUACAAUACCUGUGUGAUGGGUGCUUCAGUGUUUUACAAUUUCCAGGCAGUUUGCAUCAAAUUCUUUUAAAAUAUAUUGUACUUGUUAACUGCCUUACAGGGCCACGUGUUCAAGUGUGCUGUACAAGUAUUUCUUUAAGCAACAUUUUUUUAGCUCUGGUUGAGUGCAAACCCAAGGGAUUCCCUUAAUCCUCCUGUUCCCUGCUUCUAAAGGUAAGUCUGAGGCUGCAGUUUCAUCGGCUGGUAAAUGUGGUUGUAGGGCAUGUGGGGGUCCAGUUAAAAGCAAACCAUUGCAGCUGCUGGCACCAUAUAACAUUGAAAUGACAGAAAAAUCAGUCUAAAAGUUAAUUCAAAAAAUCUGGAGGCAGGCAAUCUAUUGCAGCAGAGAUACCUUGCCAGGGAAGACUUUUUUUUUUCACUACUAACUUAAGUUUGUGCUGGAUUGGUAAUCGCCUGCUCUUCGAAGGAUGGCAAGAAGCCAGCAUCACAACAGUGUCCCGUUUUCUGAGUGCGAUGGUCCAACCUGAUCUAGAAGAAGCGGUUGCUGUUGGGCAGUCCCGCAGCAAGCAGUUCUGUGUGAAUGUCUCUGCUGAAGGAGCUCUGCUCUAGAAGAACACUAAAGUAUUCACUUCAGUGCAUGAAAUGAAGACACAGGUCUAUAGAAAAUCAUAUGAGAGAAGCAUAUUGUUAAGUUCUCUUUUAUCCAAAGCUUUUGUUGUGCUAGCCGCAAUGUUUCCCUUAAAUGUAUGUGACUGGGGAAACUGCUAACAAGCCAGACCAGCUGUAGCUGCAAAGUAGGUUUAUGCCAUGUCAAUCAGUUCUGUAUUUAAUUGAUUAACUCUCUGCAUUGCCGUUUGAAUGGUACUUGCUGGUGCGACGCUGGAGGGAAGAGAAGCAGGACGAAAGCAGUAAGGGAACACGUCCCGAGGGUGGUCACGGGCAGCUGUGUUGCUGUACGUCACGGGAGCCCACCAGCCUCCUGCUCAAGGACUCCCACUGCAUUACCACGCAGUUUCAGCAGCAGUUGAGAGAAAUGGGUCUGGAAAGUAAACUCAUAUCCUCAGCGUGGAGCUGUUAGCAGAAGCUGCACCGCAGCAUCACUCGCUACCGUGGGAAGGGGAGAACUGCGUGGUGGUGCCGACCGGCUCUGCAGCCCGUGGUGCAUCUGGCAGUGACACGAUGCUAAAAAGGAAGAGAUCUUCUGAUAAAUCCCCCCCAAGUGAGCCGGCUCUUCCACAUGCAGCUCUCCAGGAUGGCUGGGGGGUCUUUCCCUGCCUGUACCUAACACUCCUCCUGGGGACACGUCUCCUGCCUGCAGAGCCACAGUAGUUACACCUAUUUACUCUGUGCGGGUUCAAAGAAAGAACAUUGAGGCAGGCAGACAGUGUGGGGGCUGGAAAAAUCAACAGAGUCAUAAAAAAGCUGAUACAGUUUGCAA